rnacentral:misc_RNA from 1 species
AAAGUUGGAGUUGUGGAGGACUCUCAAGAGAAAGGGUUUAGGCUAAGUAGAAGUAAGACAAAAUAUAUGCAUUGCGGGUUUAGCUUUUGUAGGAGUGGAGGGGAUGUUCGGUUGGAUGGUGUUUUGGUACCAAAAUGAACCAAUUUAAGAAUUUAGGUUUAUCAUCUAGAAGAACAGAGUAAUAGAUGAAGAUGUAAUGCUUAGGAUAAAAACAAGAUGGAUAAAAUGAAGGAGUGUGACGGCCAUACUAUGUGACAAUAGGAUCUCUGACAAAGUGAAUGUAAUCUAUAGAACUGUAGUUUGGCCAACUAUAUUAUAUGGGAGUGAAUGUUGAGCAUCUAAGAUAUAACAAACAAACCAACAAGAUAAGGGCAAUAGAAUGUAGAUUUGCAAAUGUUGUCUGGUAACAUUAUAAUAAAUAAGAUUAUGAAUGACCAAAUUUGUUAGAGAGUGCACGCAAUGGAGACAAUUUUUGAUGAAGUUGGUUUGCUAAUGUCCAACAUAUAAUAUCAAAUGACUCAGUACGAAGGUGUGAUAAGUUAGUGAUGGAAAGAGAGAAAGUAAAUAGGCAGACCUAAAAUGAUGUGAAAGGAGGUAUUAUCAAAAGAUUUACAAUUUUUUGGAUAUCGCUGUAGAAUUGACAUCAAAAGAGCUAAAUGGAGAAGAAGAAUCUAUAUAGCCGACUUCAACUAGUUUUAGUUGUUAUUGUAGUUUUAUUUUAGUUAUACACAACAGGCAAAAUUGAAAAUAAUAAAAAGUUAUUAAAUUAU